UUCAAGUAUGUACCUUUCUUUUCAUUGUUAUUUCCCUUGAAAUUACAUAAAUAAAUAAAAAAAACAAAAAAACAAAAAAAUAUUUCAUUAUAAUAUAGAUUUAUUUUAAGUUAAGUCCCUAAUGUGAAAAAAAUUUCUAUUAUCUAUUCCCUCAAAAUUUUCAUGAGCCAUAACAAAAAUUCAACACACUCAGUAAGUAUAAAGGUUGCUCAUUUUAUCGAACUUGAGACAAACUAAGACAAAAACUAUUACCGCCCCAACAC
rnacentral:lncRNA from 1 species